GUCCUCCACUUGUAUCUACUUGUAGAAUGACCAUUACCAUUUUCGAAUCGCUCUCUUGGUGGUUGGCUACCCAUCAACGUGAGAGUCGGUAGUUCCAGCUUGAAGUCCACACGAGGUACCGGGUACGGGGAGGACUUUCACCAUGCAGAUCGACGUCCACGACGUCGUCCUCGCUUUAAGGAAGCGAGUCGAAAGGUCCACGAUCUCGAGUGAUCGUGCGGGAGGGAAAGUCGAGGAAAGGAAGUAUGAUAACAUAUGAUGAGCAUAUACAAAACACUUUCGCGCUUGAUAAGACUACAGAUGUCAUCGUCGUCGUGGUCCGUCGGUCCGUAGAGAAGAGUUAGACUUUCGUUGCGUGGUGGUGGAGAACAAUAGUCCAGUAGUCCCAACAAUUACGUACGCCAGGACAUUGUUUGAUGUUCAUGCGGAUCAAGAAGAGGGAAAGAAUUAUUCUGUGCCUGCGGAGCCGGCAAUAUAUUGGGCCAGUUCUUUAAGUUCAAAUGAAACGCACAAUGGAGUCGGCGGCGGAGGAGGAGUAGGUUUUGUUUCGAUCCCAAACACGGAGAGCGGCCGCGGCGGUGUCCAGGCAGAGCAGAGGCCACUGGAAUCCCGGUACCCCCGCGCCACCUAGAUCCGUUCCCUGCCGCCCUCCCAAAGCAACAAUCAGCAAAAAAGCUCAACACAAUCUCAAACACAGGACGAGUCCUUUUGCUCUGACGCCGCAGAGAGACUUUUACCUUAUUUUCAGAGGGGCGGAUCGGGGGCAAGGCCACCACGCAGAUCGUAGUAACCACCCGCACACCUCCACACAGAGGCCGCCUAGAUAGGAGCCACCUAAACGAGCCUAGGCCAAUAACAAGCAGAUACAAGCACACAGAAGUCCAACCUAAGAAAGUUAGAUGUAAUAAGAAGUACCCGCCGCCAACGACAAGACCACGCGACCAGGAUACCCCGGAAUCGUACUGCUGAAGGGCUGACAGAUGAUGUUGUUCAACACGGGCUGAGGCCGCUCCCUCCCCGCUACUACCGCUGCGCGGAAGCCGAGCGAAGUCACGAACAUCAGCAGCGAUCCACCAGAUGCCUAGACCCACAUUAAAAAUAAUAAAGACUAUAAGCAAUAUGACAGUACUAACUUCUACUUAUCUAAACUUCAAAAGCGC
rnacentral:rRNA from 1 species